GCAGACUCACUCUGUGCUGAACUGCAGCCUUCAGUUCAGGUGCUUUUCUGUCUGCGAGAGUAACAGCUCACAGGAGCGACGAUGGCCUUCCUCCCUGUGGAAGGCUGUUACAGUUGCUGUUGGGACAUGGCU
ensembl:snoRNA